rnacentral:rRNA from 1 species
CUUGUGCCAGCAGCCGCGGUAAUACAGAGGGUGCAAGCGUUAAUCGGAAUUACUGGGCGUAAAGCGCGCGUAGGUGGUUCGUUAAGUUGGAUGUGAAAUCCCCGGGCUCAACCUGGGAACUGCAUUCAAAACUGACGAGCUAGAGUAUGGUAGAGGGUGGUGGAAUUUCCUGUGUAGCGGUGAAAUGCGUAGAUAUAGGAAGGAACACCAGUGGCGAAGGCGACCACGCUGGACUGAUACUGACACUGAGGUGCGAAAGCGUGGGGAGCAAACAGGA